rnacentral:lncRNA from 1 species
AUCCUCCUGCCUCAGCCUUCUGAGCUGCUGGGAUUACAGGCAUGCACCAUGACACCUGGUUCUGCAUAUUUCUUUUGAGAUACCGAAGGCCUUAUUUCUGCUGGGUAGGAGAAUCACUUUGUAACGGGGCAGGCAUACAUUUAAAAUGCUUUUGUAGAUACUGCCAUUUUUUUCAAGACAGUUGAACCGACUUACACUUUCACCAACAUUGUCUGAACAUUCCAGUUGUACCACCUGUUUACUUUUGCCAUGUUAGUACAGGUGUGAUACCUCUUAAGGAAUAAUAUGGGACAGUAUUUUGUUAUCAGCCAUCUGCAUGUCUUCUUUUGUAAAGUGCCUAUCUCAGGCUUUUGCUCCUCUCUUGCCCUUCUCUUUUAAAAUUAGAACAUCUUUUCUAAACCCCCCCUUGUUUCUUUUGGAGACAGGAUCUCAUUAAGCUGCCAAGGCUGGCCUUGAACUUUCCUUGAACUUGUGAUUCUCCUGCCUCAGCUUCCCAAGUUGCUGGAAUUACAGUAGACUGUGCCACCAUGUCUGGUUACACCUUUUAUGGUUAAGUGCCAUGAAACUCUAAAUUAGUCAGGUCACUACUUGUGAAUUGGAUUGGCAUGAAAUAAUCACACAGACACAGAAAGUACCUUUUUCUUGGGGUUCAGUGAUGGCUCUUCUGCCCCAGCUCCCAUAAGGGAGGCAAGGGAGUCUAGCAAAAAAGGGGGAGCACAUGCUUGAAGCCCUAUUUAUUGAGGGAAGACACUGGAGAAAAUUCCACCCCAAUGAGGCAAGGGAUUGGGUUUCAGAGGGGUGUAGCUCAGUCUCAUUGGGUGACACCCACUCUCAGAAUUUCAUUCCCCUGCUGAGUGGAGAUGAGAUCUACCUGUUUCCAGGGACAGUCUCACACCUCCAUGGCUCAAGGCUAAGGGUCCAUGCUCACUCCUAUGUGGCAGCUCCUGACAGUUAAGUCUUUUUGUGUCCUAUUUUCUUUUUCCUUUUUAGUGGUGGGGAGUCAAAUCCUGGGCCUUGAGUACACUAGGUACCCAUUCUUACCAGAGCUACACCCCCAGCUCCUAUGUCCUAUUGAAGGAAUCUGACUAUCCCAAGGUCCUGAAGAUAUUCUAUUUAUUAUUAUUCUAGAAAUUUUACAGUUUUAAGUUUUACCUUUUACAUUUAGGUCUAUGUUUUUGUUGUUGUUUUCAGCACUGGGACUGAACUGAGGGCCUUGUGCCUGCUAGGUAAGCACUCUACUACUAACUUAUAUCCCCAGCCAGGUGGGGUCCAUUUUCAAUUAAUUUUGUAUAUAGUGUGAGGUACAGAUUGUGGUUCAUUUUGAUUUUUUUUAAUUGUAGAUGGACACAGUACUUUCAUUUUGUUUAUUGAGGUUUUUUUGUUUGUUUGUUUUUAAUGUGGUGCUGGGGAACGAACCCAGUGCCUCAUGUACGCUAGGCAAGUACUCUACCAUUGAGUCACAACCCCAGCCCUGUGGUUCAUUUUUGCUGGAUAUC